rnacentral:rRNA from 1 species
UGGGGAAUUUUGGACAAUGGGCGCAAGCCUGAUCCAGCCAUGCCGCGUGAGUGACGAAGGCCUUAGGGUUGUAAAGCUCUUUUGGCGGGGAAGAUAAUGACGGUACCCGCAGAAUAAGCUCCGGCUAACUUCGUGCCAGCAGCCGCGGUAAUACGAAGGGAGCUAGCGUUGUUCGGAAUCACUGGGCGUAAAGCGCACGUAGGUGGGCAGUUAAGUCAGGGGUGAAAGCCCGAGGCUCAACCUCGGAAUUGCCUCUGAUACUGGCUGUCUAGAGUUCGAGAGAGGUGAGUGGAAUUCCUAGUGUAGAGGUGAAAUUCGUAGAUAUUAGGAAGAACACCGGUGGCGAAGGCGGCUCACUGGCUCGAUACUGACACUGAGGUGCGAAAGCGUGGGGAGCAAACAGGAUUAGAUACCCAUGUAGUCCCUGAGCGGGCUGGCAAGGCGCAU